rnacentral:rRNA from 1 species
CGAAGGGUGCAAGCGUUACUCGGAAUUACUGGGCGUAAAGCGUGCGUAGGUGGUGGUUUAAGUCAGAUGUGAAAGCCCUGGGCUCAACCUGGGAACUGCAUUUGAUACUGGGUCACUAGAGUGUGGUAGAGGAUAGCGGAAUUCCUGGUGUAGCAGUGAAAUGCGUAGAGAUCAGGAGGAACAUCCGUGGCGAAGGCGGCUAUCUGGGCCAACACUGACACUGAGGCACGAAAGCGUGGGAGCAAACAGGAUU